AUUUUGGUCAUUUAACUUUACUUUUAUUGUAGAUCGGUCUCAAAUUCAAAGAAAAACAAUUAUUCAAUAAUUGGAGCAAAAUAUCAACCAUUAUUGAUUACUUGUUUAAACCAUCUCAUGUGGAAAGUUGGAACAAAAGAGUUGCUAACAAGGAAAAAACAUUCUCUUUUAAACAGACUAAAAGAUAAGUAAGACAAAUAAAUUGACACAGAGGGAGUAUCUAUUAGGAGGGCACAAUAAGUUUGUUAUUUGGUUCUUACAGUUUGUCAGAAUUUUGAUUAACGGUGAUGUUGAAUCAUAUAAUAUAUUGUACAUUUAAGGAAGUGGACUUUUCUAUUUGUGAGGAAGAAAGUUGUUAGCAAUUUUUGAUGCAGAAGAAGAUAGAAAAUGAAGACAUCCAACACAAAGUGGACUGAUUAUACGUGCCGCUUGAUUUGUAAAAAUAGUAACACAUGAAAAUGGCUUGCGGUCUCUUCUUUAGUCAAGAAACUAGAAAAAGAACAUGUUUUGUCUUGAUUCUGAUGUGAAACAACACUAUCAAUAAUACAAUGUCUCUCCUUCUAAAA